GUAGGGCAAUGAUUACAAC
rnacentral:snRNA from 1 species